rnacentral:snoRNA from 1 species
UGUCUGCUGCUGCCCACGGGCUGUGUUCUUACACUGACUGCUUAGAAAGAGGAGGCAAAGUAAACCUACCCCAUAUGCACCUCAGCCAGGCCCUGUGCCUGGUCUGUACUGUGAAUGAGAAGACACAG